GAUGAAGAACGUAGCGAAAUGCGAUACGUAAUGUGAAUUGCAGAGUUCAGUGAAUCAUCGAGUCUUUGAACGCACAUUGCGCCCCCUGGUAUUCCGGGGGGCAUGCCUGUCCGAGCGUCAUUGCUGCCCUCAAGCACGGCUUGUGUGUUGGGCCUCCGUCCUCCUCCCGGGGGACGGGCCCGAAAGGCAGCGGCGGCACCGCGUCCGGUCCUCGAGCGUAUGGGGCUUUGUCACCCGCUCUUGUAGGCCCGGCCGGCGCUUGCCGACACAUCAAUCUUUUUUCCAGGUUGACCUCGGAUCAGGUAGGGAUACCCGCUGAACUUAAGCAUAUCAAUAAGCGGAGGA
rnacentral:misc_RNA from 1 species